ACUGUUCUUUUUCUUUCUGGUGCCGGAUGUAAGGAUCCGGAUAAUAGGGAAGUACGCGAUAUUCGUACACUGUUCCCGCAACUGUUUGACGGUAAGCUGAACAAGGGCUGUAAACGGCUCCGUUUUCAUCGAUUGUUCAGCAGGAUUAAACCACUCCGUUGCUUAGGCAUUUUCCACCCUGGAAUGCGGGGGAAGGUUUAACUGUUUUUACGCCUGUUCGUUACGCAGGCAGCCGUUCAAAGUCAGGAGACCUGCCAGAAAGCCACUGCCGUA
rnacentral:ncRNA from 2 species